CUGGAAGGUGAGACGAGACGUGGGAAGGAAAGCCAAAUCGUCCCAGCUGUCCUGGCGGAUGCCAUCCUCAUCAGCAACAGCUGGGUGAACUCUAGCCAGAACCAUCCAGCUAAGCCCAGCUGAGCCACCAAGGUCGCCUACCUAGAGACGUACAAGCAAAACAGAUGCAUACUGUUUUAAGCCACUGAGUUUUGGGGCAGGAAUCAUUGCAUAGAACUUUUCUACUAUAAAAUGAAAGCUCUGUUGUGUACUAACAUGCAUGUAGUUGCUUACUAUGCAGUAGGUACCAUUGCAAGCCCUCUGCAUAUGUUGGCUCAUUCAUCCUCUCAACAGCCAUAGGAGAGAGGGUUUUUGAUAGAACCUCAAGAAACAAACCUGCGUUCUGGGCUGCAUCAACAUGGGAAGAGCAGACUUCAUCGGCAACAGCCUGUUUAUAAUCUCCUGGGCCUGUUUCUGUUUUCAUUUUCCUGAAGACUGAAGUGGAUGUAGUGCAGAAAACAAUGGCAGGAUAAUACUGUAAUCCUCUUGGUUCCCACACGUGUUUUUCACUAGCAUGAAUUCAGAGAUGUAUCUAAGAAUCUUCUGUCCCUAUACCCAGGGGUAAACAAAGGAUCCCACAGUCUGUUGCCUGUCCCUGUGGAAUUAAAAACAAAUGUAUACACUAUAAUA